AUCCAUUCUCAAGAACCCUAAUCACUACUCAAGCAACAUUCUCAAGAACACAAACCCAGAAAUUACUAAAAUCAUACCAAAAUGUAGAUCUAAACAAGCUAAAGAACUUUACU
rnacentral:sRNA from 1 species